GACGAACGCUGGCGGCGUGCCUAAUACAUGCAAGUCGAGCGUGAACCACAGGAGGGGUAACCCUCCUGCGGGGAAAGCGGCGAACGGGUGAGUAACACGUGGGCAACCUGCCCUCGACACUGGGAUAACCCCGGGAAACCGGGGCUAAUACCGGAUACCCUCGGACGGUCGCAUGGCCGACCGAGGAAAGCUCCGACGGUCGAGGAUGGGCCCGCGGCCUAUCAGCUUGUUGGCGGGGUAACGGCCCACCAAGGCGACGACGGGUAGCUGGCGUGAGAGCGUGGCCAGCCACAAUGGGACUGAGACACGGCCCAGACUCCUACGGGAGGCAGCAGUAGGGAAUCUUGCGCAAUGGGCGAAAGCCUGACGCAGCGACGCCGCGUGCGGGAUGAAGGCCCUCGGGUUGUAAACCGCUUUCGGCAGGGACGAAGCCUCACGGUGACGGUACCUGCAGAAGAAGCCCCGGCUAACUACGUGCCAGCAGCCGCCGUAAGAC
rnacentral:rRNA from 1 species